rnacentral:rRNA from 1 species
CGGACGGUAGUAACACGUGGGUAACCUACCUAUAAGACUGGGAUAACUUCGGGAAACCGGAGCUAAUACCGGAUAAUAUUUCGAACCGCAUGGUUCGAUAGUGAAAGAUGGUUUUGCUAUCACUUAUAGAUGGACCCGCGCCGUAUUAGCUAGUUGGUAAGGUAACGGCUUACCAAGGCGACGAUACGUAGCCGACCUGAGAGGGUGAUCGGCCACACUGGAACUGAGACACGGUCCAGACUCCUACGGGAGGCAGCAGGC